rnacentral:rRNA from 1 species
GAGGAAUAUUGGUCAAUGGGCGGAAGCCUGAACCAGCCAUGCCGCGUGCAGGAAGACGGCCCUACGGGUUGUAAACUGCUUUUCUGCGGGAAGAACGGCCCCCACGGGUGGGGGUGUGACGGUACCGCAGGAAUAAGGAUCGGCUAACUCCGUGCCAGCAGCCGCGGUAAUACGGAGGAUCCGAGCGUUAUCCGGAUUUACUGGGUUUAAAGGGUGCGUAGGCUGUUCGCUAAGUCAGCGGUGAAAUGGCGCGGCUCAACCGUGCAGCUGCCGUUGAAACUGGCGGGCUUGAGUGGGUUCGAGGCAGGCGGAAUGCGCGGUGUAGCGGUGAAAUGCAUAGAUAUCGCGCAGAACGCCAAUAGCGUAGGCAGCUUGCCAGGCCCCAACUGACGCUGAGGCACGAAAGCGUGGGGAUCAAAC